CCAAUAGCGUAUAUUACAGUUGUUGCAGUUAAAAAGCUCGUAGUUGAAUUUCGGGAUCAGUACGUCGGUCGUGCCUUCGGUACGUAUUGGCGUCGCUGAUUUCUCCCUUCUGACGAACCGUGAUGCCAUUAAUUUGGUGUUGCGGGGAAUCAGGACUGUUACUUUGAAAAAAUUAGGGUGUUUAAAGCGGGCACGCGCUUGAAUACAUUAGCAUGGAAUAACGAAAUAGGACGUUCGAUCUUAUUUUGUUGGUUUCUAGGAUUGACGUAAUGAUUAAUAGGGAUAGUUGGGGGCAUUAGUAUUCAAUUGUCAGAGGUGAAAUUCUUGGAUUUAUUGAAGACUAACUACUGCGAAAGCAUUUGCCAAGGAUGUUUUCAUUAAUCAAGAACGAAAGUUAGGGGAUCGAAGACGAUCAGAUACCGUCGUAGUCUUAACCAUAAACUAUGCCGACUAGGGAUCGGAUGAUGUUAAUUUUAUAAUGACUCAUUCGGCGCCUUACG
rnacentral:rRNA from 1 species